rnacentral:tRNA from 1 species
CGGGGCGUAGCUCAGCCUGGUAGAGCGCCCGCUUUGGGAGCGGGAGGAAAUCGCGGGUUCAAAUCCCGCCGCCCCGA